rnacentral:rRNA from 1 species
UCCUACGGGAGGCAGCAGUGGGGAAUCUUGGACAAUGGGGGCAACCCUGAUCCAGCCAUGCCGCGUGAGUGAUGAAGGCCUUAGGACCGUAAAGCUCUUUCGCCUGAGAAGAUAAUGACGGUAGCAGGUAAAGAAACCCCGGCUAACUCCGUGCCAACAGACGCGGUAAUACGGAGGGGGUUACCGCUGUUCCUAAUUACAGGGACAUAAACCACACGUAAAGCCGAUCGAAAAAGUUUUGUAGGAAAAAUACCCGCGGGCUCAAACCCCAGGUAACUGCCUCCCAAAAACUAUUAUGACC